CGACAACUGUUUAUCAAAAACACAGGUAUCAGCAAAGUGUAAUAAUGAUGUAUUGAUACUGGAAUCUGCCCGGUGCUAGUAUAAUGAAAAGUGUAAAGUGAGAGCUUAAUACUCAAGUCCUAGUAAACGGCAGUCAUAUUUUUAAUGAUUCUAAGGUAGCGAAAUUCCUUGACGUUUAAUUGGCGUCCUGCAUGAAUGAAUCAAUGACCGUUAUACUGUCUCAAAGAUGAGAUCCUCGAAAUUGAAUUACGUGUGCAAAUGCACGUUACUUAAACCUAGAAAAAAAAGUCUCUU
rnacentral:rRNA from 1 species